UGGCUGAGUGAUAAAGCACUUGGCUUCUAAACCAAGGGGUCCUGGGUACAAAUCCUGG
rnacentral:tRNA from 1 species